AUUGAACGCUGGCGGCAGGCCUAACACAUGCAAGUCGAGCGGAUGCAGGGAGCUUGCUCCUGGAUUCAGCGGCGGACGGGUGAGUAAUGCCUAGGAAUCUGCCUGGUAGUGGGGGAUAACUUCCGGAAACGGGCGCUAAUACCGCAUACGUCCUGAGGGAGAAAGUGGGGGAUCUUCGGACCUCACGCUAUCAGAUGAGCCUAUGUCAGAUUAGCUAGUUGGUGGGGUAAAGGCCUACCAAGGCGACGAUCCGUAGCUGGUCUGAGAGGAUGAUCAGUCACACUGGAACUGAGACACGGUCCAGACUCCUACGGGAGGCAGCAGUGGGGAAUAUUGGACAAUGGGCGAAAGCCUGAUCCAGCAAUGCCGCGUGUGUGAAGAAGGUCUUCGGAUUGUAAAGCACUUUAAGUGGGGAGGAAAAGCAGUAAGUUAAUACCUUGCUGUGUUGACGGUACCAACAGAAUAAGCACCGGCUAACUACGUG
rnacentral:rRNA from 1 species